ACUCAAAUGAAUUGACGGGGGCCCGCACAAGCGGUGGAGCAUGUGGAUUAAUUCGUCAUUAACCGAAGAACCUUACCAGGGUUUGACAUCCCCGGACAGGCGGUGAAAGCCGUUUUUCUCUUGGGAAACCAGGGGACUGGGAGACAGGUGUUGCAUGGCUGUCGUCAGCUCGUGUCGUGAGAUGUUGGGUUAAGUCCCGCAACGAGCGCAACCCUCACUGCCGGUUGCCAGCAUGAAAGAUGGGCACUUUGGCAGAACUGCCCCGGCAACGGGGAGGAAGGUGGGGAUGACGUCAAGUCGGCAUGGCCCGUAUAUCCUGGGCUUCACACAUGCUACAAUGGGGAGGACAGAGGGCAGCAAGACCGCGAGGUGGAGCUAAUCCCACAAACCUUUCCUCAGUUCGGAUUGCAGGCUGCAACUCGCCUGCAUGAAGUCGGAAUCGCUAGUAACCGCCGGUCAGCAAAACGGCGGUGAAUACGUACCCGGGCCUUGCACACACCGCCCGU
rnacentral:rRNA from 1 species